rnacentral:rRNA from 1 species
GAUGAACGCUGGCGGCGUGCCUAAUACAUGCAAGUCGAGCGAACAGACGAGGAGCUUGCUCCUCUGACGUUAGCGGCGGACGGGUGAGUAACACGUGGAUAACCUACCUAUAAGACUGGGAUAACUUCGGGAAACCGGAGCUAAUACCGGAUAAUAUAUUGAACCGCAUGGUUCAAUAGUGAAAGACGGUUUUGCUGUCACUUAUAGAUGGAUCCGCGCCGCAUUAGCUAGUUGGUAAGGUAACAGCUUACCAAGGCAACGAUGCGUAGCCGACCUGAGAGGGUGAUCGGCCACACUGGAACUGAGACACGGUCCAGACUCCUACGGGAGGCAGCAGUAGGGAAACUUCCGCAAUGGGCGAAAGCCUGACGGGGCAACGCCGCGUGGGUGAUGAUGGUCUUCGGAUCGUAAAACUCUGUUAUUAGGGAAGAACAAAUGUGUAAGUAACUAUGCACGUCUUGACGGUACCUAAUCAGAAGGCCACGGCUAACUACGUG